AACCGGUAGGGGAACAGGUGCUUAUCUCUGGAAGAAUUUACUCUUUGGCUUCACUUGUGAUACCUCCAAUAGACUUAAUGCUAUUGUUUUGUUGUAUAUUUUAAAUGUUGUACAGUGGAGCUCAUCAUUUAUGAUAGCACCCUGUCUUGCCACAUCUAUAUCAAGUUUUAACAUUCUUGGUUGCAAUCAAUGAGAGGGAACUUGUCAAUGGAACACUUGACAACAUGGGAUUGGAGAUGUUGAUGAAUAUGUUUGGGGGUCUUGGGAUUGGAAGCCCUGCCGUUCCUGUCAGAUCAGAUGUGCCCCCGGAAGAACUGUAUGCCACUCAGCUCUCAUAGCUACAAGAAAUGGGCUUCUUUGAUACCCGAGAGAAUAUACAGGCACUAAUAGCCACUGCAAGGAAUGUUCAUGCUGCAGUGGAGCGGCUUUUGGGGAACCCCGCUAGCAGAAGCAGCAAAAGCAUAAUUUUCACGUGAUUACAGUGAUAACCUUGCUCUUGUCCGGGCUUAUGAGGCCUGGAAAGAAGCUGAAAGAGACGUAGCUGGAUAUGAAUACUGUUGGAAGAAUUUUCUUUUUGCUCAAUCAAUGAAAACUAUUGAUGCUCUGUGAAGGGAGUUCUACUCUUUACUUAAGGAAUAUGUUUUAAAUUUUAAUGCUAAGUGGAUGUGAAUUGGAUGAUUAUAUAGAUUACAAGUGGAUUUUUAAUUGAACGAAUAUGUAGUUUGGAAUUACUUGUGGAUGAAAAUUUAUAAUAGUUGUUGACUUUAA